rnacentral:rRNA from 1 species
ACCCGCUGAACUUAAGCAUAUCAAUAAGCGGAGGAAAAGAAACCAACAGGGAUUACCUCAGUAACGGCGAGUGAAGCGGUAACAGCUCAAAUUUGAAAGCUGGCUCUUUUAGGGUCCGCGUUGUAAUUUGUAGAAGAUGCUUCGGGUGUGGCCCCGGUCUAAGUUCCUUGGAACAGGACGUCAUAGAGGGUGAGAAUCCCGUAUGUGACUGGGUGCUUUCGCUCAUGUGAAGCUCUUUCGACGAGUCGAGUUGUUUGGGAAUGCAGCUCAAAAUGGGUGGUAAAUUUCAUCUAAAGCUAAAUAUUGGCCAGAGACCGAUAGCGCACAAGUAGAGUGAUCGAAAGAUGAAAAGCACUUUGGAAAGAGAGUUAAACAGUACGUGAAAUUGUUGAAAGGGAAGCGCUUGCAACCAGACUUGCGCGCUGAUGAUCAUCCGGGCUUCUGCCCGGUGCACUCGUCUGCGCUCAGGCCAGCAUCGGUUUCGGUGGUGGGAUAAAGGCCUUGGGAAUGUGGCUCCUCUCGGGGAGUGUUAUAGCCCUCGGUGCAAUGCCGCCAACCGGGACCGAGGACCGCGCUUCGGCUAGGAUGCUGGCGUAAUGGUUGUAAGCGACCCGUCUUGAAACACGGACCAAGGAGUCUAACAUCUAUGCGAGUGUUUGGGUGUCAAACCCAUACGCGUAAUGAAAGUGAACGGAGGUGAGAACCCUUAAGGGUGCAUCAUCGACCGAUCCUGAUGUCUUCGGAUGGAUUUGAGUAAGAGCAUAGCUGUUGGGACCCGAAAGAUGGUGAACUAUGCGUGAAUAGGGUGAAGCCAGAGGAAACUCUGGUGGAGGCUCGCAGCGGUUCUGACGUGCAAAUCGAUCGUCAAA